CCCUUAGAUGUCCUGGGCUGCACGCGCGCUACACUGGAAGUUACGGAUUGAGAUACUACCUUGUCCGAAAUGGUCCGGGUAGUCACCUAAAAGCUUGUCAUAAUUGGAAUGGAUUAUUGUAACUAGUAAUCCUGAACGAGGAAUUCCUAGUAAGUCCCAGUCAACAGCUGGUACUGAUUACGUCCCUGCCCUUUGUACACACCGCCCGUCGCUACUACUGAUUGGACGUUUAAGCAAGAUUUUUAAACACUGACAGUGUGUAGUUCACGCUAUACUACAGUGAGAAGAAGAAGAUCGAGCUUACUUGUCUAGAGGAAGUAAAAGUCGUAACA
rnacentral:rRNA from 1 species